GCGGGGUGGAGCAGCUUGGUAGCUCGUCGGGCUCAUAACCCGAAGGUCGUCGGUUCAAAUCCGGCCCGCACCA
rnacentral:tRNA from 1 species